AAUAAUCUUCGGGGCGAGGUGUAAUUCCUCACCGGCAGUUAAAGUCUGCGAGCAAUGUUUAUUGCAGGAACCUGUGUGAUUCAGGUACCGACAGUAUAGUCUGGAUGAGAGAAGAGAGAA
rnacentral:ncRNA from 1 species